rnacentral:rRNA from 1 species
AGAGUUUGAUCCUGGCUCAGGACGAACGCUGGCGGCGCGCCUAACACAUGCAAGUCGAACGAGAGAGAGGGAGCUUGCUUCCUUGAUCGAGUGGCGAACGGGUGAGUAACGCGUGAGGAACCUGCCUCAAAGAGGGGGACAACAGUUGGAAACGACUGCUAAUACCGCAUAAGCCCACGACCCGGCAUCGGGAAGAGGGAAAAGGAGCAAUCCGCUUUGAGAUGGGCCUCGCGUCCGAUUAGCUAGUUGGUGAGGUAACGGCCACCAAGGCGACGAUCGGUAGCCGGACUGAGAGGUUGAACGGCCACAUUGGGACUGAGACACGGCCCAGACUCCUACGGGAGGCU